AUGACAUCAAAGGCUCAUCUUCCUGGGCGGCUGUGGCUAUUCCAACACACUGAAGCCCUCGAAAGGGAUCUCUCCGUUGAGAGCCCGGACGACAUCAGGGAUCUCGUUUUGGUGUGGCUGCACAUACACCUGCAAGAACCGUUUCAUUUUAGCCACGAGGACCUUGCGCAGCUGAUGAUUCCCCUCUGGCUUCCCUUCCUUCCUCAGCAGUGUGAGCACCGCACACCUCCUGCGAUGGCUCUCCAAGCUCCGCACCAGCAUGCUCGGAUUGGCCACGAUAUCUUCCAGGCUCAGACCCGCCUUUCCGACCAAGAAUCCGACAUUUUCCUUCAUCUUCUUCUCUGA
rnacentral:rRNA from 1 species